UAGGGAAUAUUGCAAAAUGGGCGAAAGCCCGAUGCAGCAACGCCGCGUGGGCGAUGAAGGCCUUCGGGUCGUAAGGCCCUUUUUGAGGGGAUGAGGAAGGACAGUACCCUCAGAAUAAGCCUCGGCUAACUACGUGCCAGCAGCCGCGGUAAAACGUAGGAGGCGAGCGUUAUCCGGAUUUACUGGGCGUAAAGCGCGUGCAGGCGGAUUGGAGAGUUGGAUGUGAAAGCUCCCGGCUUAACUGGGAGAGGUCGUUCAAUACUUCCAGUCUUGAGUGCAGUAGAGGGAAGUGGAAUUCCGGGUGUAGUGGUGAAAUGCGUAGAUAUCCGGAGGAACACCAGUGGCGAAAGCGGCUUCCUGGACUGUAACUGACGCUCAGACGCGAAAGCUAGGGUAGCAAACG
rnacentral:rRNA from 1 species